GUGGCUUCGCGGCUGUGGAAGGAUGCCCGGGCUGGCGCCGCUGGGCAGAGCUGGUGCGAAGUUUCCCUUUCCAACCUUGUUCUUCCGGCCUUGCUGUCUGCCUCCCGGGCUGAUUGGAUUCGUUACUGCUUUGCAACGCGCACCUAACUCCAGACGGGGUCUCACUCUGUCGCCCAGGCUGGAGUGCAGUGGCACAAUCUCGGCUUGCUGUGACCUCAGCUCUCUGCGACCUCUGCUUCCUGGACUCAAGCGAUCCUCCCACCUCACACUCCUGAGUAGCUGGGACCACCAUAUGCACCAGCACGCCUGGCUAAGUAUUUUGUGUUUUCUUUUUUUUUAAUUUCUGGAGACAGGAUCUUGUUAUGUUGCCCAGGCUGGUCUCAAACUCUAGGACUCAAGUGAUCUGCCCCCCUUGGCCUCCCAAAGUACUGGGAUUGCAGACAUGAGCCACCGUGCCUGGCCUUUCUUUUUUUUUUUCCCCAGCUUCAGCAACAUAGUGAGACCCGUUGUGGUGCAUGCCUGUAGUCCCAGCUACUUGGGAGGCUGAGUUGGGAGUAUUGCUUGAGUGUGGAAGGUUGAGGCUGCUAUGAGCGGUGAUCGUGCCACCACACUCCAACCUAGGCAACAGAGAGAGGCCCUGUCUCAAAAAAAAAAAAAAAAAAAAUUGUUUUAGGGACAUCGUCUCACUCUUGCCCAGACUGGUCUCAAACUCCUGGGGUCCAGUCAUCCUCCUGCCUCAGCCUCCCUUAUAGGUGGGACUACACAGCACCUGGCCCUUGUGUUGUUCUUGUAACAGUUGCUCAAUGCAGAAAACUUGAAAACCACAGAAGAACAGCAGGGGGUGGGGAAUGAACAUGGAAUGAUGGCGACCUCUGUCACAUUUAAGCCAAACAACAUCCAUACUUUCGUUCCAUGGACUAAUCAUUUAUUUGCACUCAUAAAAACUGGCUUGUUUUGAAAAGCUUCCUCCAAAA